AGUAUUUAACCCUGUAAUACCACUUCACUGGUCUUUUCUCAGGCUGAUCUCUCAGUAGAGUCUUUGGAGAUGGGUAUUCACCUUCGGUGCAACAUACAGACCAGCUUCAGUUGUUCAAAUAUCUCUAUCGUCAUGCCGAGUUCAGAUCCUGUGCCAUGCAGUGAACAUGAGGGUGAGCCAGAUGGAGGAUGAUGGCUGUGUUUGAGCAUCACCAGAAUGCUGAAGCUCACAGGGAUAAAAUGUACUGGUGAAACACACCAGUCUGCCAUGCUAGUAUCAUAACCUGAGGAAGAAGCUCCAACCUGAAGGCUGCUGUGUGCUCUGAGUCAUGUGAGGAAAUUAUCAAGGUCCACGGUCUUGAUGAAACCAGAGCGAGAGUGUUGCAGCAAGUGACAACAGACACUCAUGAACUCUCUUGUUCAUAGCCCACACUUUACAGGUGAUCAGCCAUACACAGCACCUGAUGAAGAUGGGACUUUUCCUUUCUUUAGCCAAAAGUUUUUCCUCAUUAAUUUGCACCAUAAAGAUCAGUUGCUUUAGUGUUUGUAAAGUAAUGUAUCAGGUAAUAUAAAUCUUACGCUGUGCAUGCAGUGAGUCAAAUUGAUAUGUCAUCUUGAAUUAAAAAAAGUCUUCAUUCCACUGAA